rnacentral:rRNA from 1 species
UGUUCUUUAAAUAGGGACUUGUAUCAACGGCAUCACGAGGGCUGUACUGUCUCCUUUUUCUAAUCAGUGAAACUGAUCCCCCCGUGAAGAAGCGGGGAUACAUCUAUAAGACGAGAAGACCCCAUGGAGCUUUAAGUCCAGUAUUUAACCCACGUCUAUAUUUCCUCUAAACUAUUAAGGUCCUAGAUAUCCACUUUAGGUUGGGGGGACCGCGGAGUAUAAUCUAACCUCCACGACUAAUGGGCCCCGCCCUUAUCUGCGAAUUACAACUCUAAGAAUCAACAAACUGAUGUUUUAUGACCCGAAAAUUCGAUCAACGAACCAAGUUACCCUGGGGAUAACAGCGCAAUCCACUUUAAGAGUCCUUAUCGACAAGUGGGUUUACGACCUCGAUGUUGGAUCAGGGUAUCCCAGUGGUGCAGUCGCUA